rnacentral:tmRNA from 1 species
GGGGACGACCUGGCUUCGACGGCGGUGAUGAAACCUUAGGUGCAUGUCGUGUGGGUAGCAACACACGUACUCCAAGUGCUGCACAAGAUAGUCGCAAACGACGAAUCUUACGCUCUAGCAGCUUAAUCGCUGCCAGCCGAUGACCCUGUUCGCCCAUGGGUGGGAAUCAUCGGUAACUUACAUGGGAUCGCGACCUCGGUUUGUCUGGGACUGGGGAGUUAAAAAGUACAGACUGGCAAUGAUCGCCCUGCCCCUUCGGGUAGAUCAGAGCGAGAUCAGUAGAUCGGGAUACACAUGUAGAGCUUAAGGCAGAGUACUGUCGGACGCGGGUUCAAUUCCCGCCGUCUCCACCA